AAUGGAUGAUUCUCAAUUAAUUAUUUCUAAAGAUAGUUUAGAGCUAAUAUCAUUUGAAUCAUUGUUUCCAUCUAUGAAACAGGUAUAUGGCACACAACCAGAAUAUCCAAAACGAAAUGAUAUCCUUCUUUAUAAAAGGUUUGUUCUAAUAGGACGCAAUGCAACAUAUACCACAGAUAAUAGUAAAUUGCGUUCAAAAUUAAUUCAACAAGCAUCCUUUCCCGAAUCUACGGCUACUGUUAUUACACUACCAAGUAUUAAAAAUGCCAGUAUAAAUAUAUAUGAACAAUAUGUGAAAAGAGCCACGGCGGUUCGAUACCAAAUUCAAAUGAUAUGAAUUUAUAUGAAAUUUAUGCUACUCAGUAUAAAUUGCUUAUGAAAGAGAUGUGCUC